CCGGGAAGGAAAAGCUCCAGCUGGGACAACAGCUCACUGUGCAGACUCUUCCUGUUGAGCAGCCACACUGUCCGCUGUCUUGGGGCCACUGGACAUACCCACGGGCCAACCUGAUAAAGACAAUUCCUCAAUCGAACUCUCUUCCCAGAUGCCCAAGGCAACCAAAAGAGGGUAUCCUAACCCUUGGAGCUGAAGUUACAGGAGGUUGUGAGCUGCCUGACAUGGGUAAGAAGGAGUAAGCACUCCUAACCUCUGAACCACAUCUCUACCCCUGGCUACAAGUUAGCAUUUUAAACUAACUUCAAGUUAAUACCUGAAACUAACCAUCAGCCUCCUUAUUGACUUUAAAAAAAGAAAAAAAUUCUACUACAUUUCUUUAUUUUAUAGGGGAGGGUGUAUACAUGCCAUGUGUUCUUGUCCAGGUCAGAGAACAAUUUGUGGGAAGCUGCUUUCUCCGUUCUGUGGGUCCCUAGGAUCAAACCCAGGUCAUCAGGCUUGGCAGAAAAAUGUCUUUAACUGCUGAAACAUCUUGCUGACACUCGUUGACUUUUAUUACUGAUACGUGUGUGGACUGAAAUGAAAUAGAGAGAGCUCCUUCCAGAACAGUGCAAUGAGCAUCUCCAAAGUUCUCCUUAAGAAAUUUCAAUUAAAGCAAUGUGCUGUGGGACAGUCUGUAUGUGAAAUUGCUCUGAUUGGUCAAUAAAUAAAACACUGGUUGGCCAGUGGCCAGGCAGGAAGUAGGU